UGAAUAUGGUAGGAGUGAAAUCUCUUGUUAUAUAAGCCAAUAACACCAAGGACCAACGCAACGUUAAUAAAUUGUACGUAAAGCUAUUUAAAUGAUACCAUCCAAUGGUACUUUCUCCUCUUUGUGGAAAAUAUGUGGCAACAUUAUUGUUAAACACGACAAAAGUGAACAAAAUACACAGCUUUACAGAAUCAGUCCACUCCAUCUUCCCUGCACCACACGCGCCUAUUGCUCUCACUUCCAUCUCCACUCUCCACUUACCCAAUCACUCCUUUACGGCGGCGCUGCUUUUAUCUCUUCUCUACCGUCAACCUCUGCCUCCGUCCAAUUCCAGCCAGAAAAAGUGAAAACAUGUCGGCGAUUCAGAAACCUUCCGAUAUAACCAAAGUUCGACUCGGCUUGCCUAGCAAAGGCCAAUGACUGCUGACUCUCUCGAUAUUCUCAAGAAUUGUCAUCAACAUGUAAAGAAAACAAUGGAAUAAAGAAAUAGACGACCAUUGAUAUCUUGGCAUAUUUGUUAGGUUAUUGCUUGGGAUAUUGACUUGCCCGUAAACCAACCGUCUCAUAUUCUUUGCGAGCAGAAAUGGAAUACCGACGAGGAUAGUGAUGACAGCUCUGAGUUUCCAGCUAGGGAGUCUAAGCGCGAACAUCAUUCUACUGCGCUUUUUACAAGGCUAUGCGUAUCUCCACCAGAACUUGCACUAACGCUGAAGCCUUUAAUCCGAAGUUGAGUAAGUUCUACACAUAUAUCUUUCUGUUUGUUGUAGAAGUACAAUUUAGUUUUCAAGAUUGUGCAAAGCUAUCUAUAUAUUUUGGUCUGAUUCACCUGUGCUAGAUUGAUUUAGGGCUCCUCUUUCCACGGACCCGUGCAUUCUCCUCAACCCCGGGAUAAAAGAGGAAUUUUUGUCAUCACAUGUCAUUUCUUUACCUUUUCACAAAAACUCAAGAGAGAUUGGACAGAGUACCGAGUAUUAAUUAUUGGUAGUACUGAAAAAAUUAGACUUUGAUGGUACAAAAACGGAAUAUCGACCAGGAUAGUGAUGACAGCUCUGAGCUUCCAACUAGAGAGUCUAAGCGCGAACGUCCUUCUACUGCGAUUUUUACAGGGAUACGCAUGGUCUUUCAAGUAUGAAGUCAAAUGAUCGCCUGUUGGAGCCGAUAAACCUAGACCUGACCUGUAAGUUUGAAUAAGCUAGCCAAACAUUUUAGAACUAGAACAAAAUGGUGGGAUUACUAUCCCAUAUAGCAAGCAAGAUAAAAAAGUUGGUUCACUGGCAGCUGUUUAAGAAAAAUGAAGGAAAUUGUGAAGAUAUGGGUCCUGGGAUAAUGAAUAGAGAAAGGCUCCGUGAUGAAAAAUUUCAAAGGUCGGUAAUGCUUUUCGAUCCUGUCAAUUUUUUGGUUGCCCUUCAACUUAUGAUCUUGAGGUGAGCACGAUGAAGAGUCAUUCGACACCAUCAAUUUUUUUCUAUUUGUUACCCACAAAUUUAGAUCGGAUUAUGAUUCUCCAUUUUUUACGUUCUGUUUGUUUUUGGCCUAAUUUGGGUGCUUAAGGUUUUCCAUAAGGGUUAGAGUUUGAAGCAAGAAAAAAUCUUCGGCUAGAUUGUAAGAUUUAGAAUCCUCACGUUAGUAGUAACCUUCAAGGUUCUGCAGUUCCUUUUCUGAAUUUGGAUAUCAUUUUGGGGUUUUACUUUUCUGAUAUGUUUGUAUCUUUGCAGAAAUGGAAGGUAAGGUUACAUAUCAGAGUUUUAAUCCAUCCAUCGGGCUGUCCUCUUAUGUUUGUCUCUUUUUCUUCAUACAAGUUCAUGAACUUUUAUUCUCCUUUUUCAUAAAUUACUUUGGACACUAUGUUCUCUGAUUUCUAAUAGCUUCACUUUGUUUUGUGGUGAGGGUGUGAGUUUUUCUUUGCUAACAUUUUCUUCAAGGAAUGUGAGAAAAAAUCCUCAAUGAAUUCUUGAGUUCCAUAAAGUAUGAUCAUGUAAACUGUCAAUGAGUGUAUUGAGUUCUUUUUAUUUGAUCAAGUACUUUGGUUAUAUAUAUUGAUUCCUAUUAAUGCUUCUAACUACUGCACUAUUGUAAGCGUUGAUUCACCCAUUGCAUUUGAAGUUUAAUUAUAUGUCUAAAUCAACUGAUUCUUUUUUUAGUUUUCACUUUUAUAUCUACCUGACUAAAAAAAUUGUCAACAUGCAAACAUCUUAGAUGAAAUAAAAGGGUAAAGAAAUAUAUCAAUAAGAUUGAAAUUCUCAAAAUGUGUUUUAUCCGUAAUGUGCUUUAGAUAGAUGUGAAUCUGAAUUAGGCAUGCUGGGAAUAUUCUUGUGAGCAGGCAAGGGGAAGAAGGACGAAUCCUACUUACACCAAUUGAUCAUGGUUACUGCUUGCCUGAGAAUGUAAGUUAUGAUUGUGUUUUUCGCGUAAAUGUUGUUUGACAAAUUAGAUGAUAAGAAAUGCUACAAACUUGUGGUUUCUUCCUUGCGAAUGGUUUUUCAUUUUCACUAACUUGAUUAUUGUGUAUGGAAGUUUUUAGAACUCUGAUGGUACAACUGCACAACUACAUUUCUAUGCCCUGUGGAUACUUCUAAUAUUCCAGUUUUGACUUCUCUGGUGUGGAGAAACAUUCAGGUGCCUGGUUUGGAUCCAAAUAAUUUGUUCUUUACCUGCAUGCAUUGUUACGAAUCAGAUCUCAAGAAAAGUGCUUACCCUGUCGAUGAGCUUAAUAUUUGCCCCAUAUAAUGUACCUGACAAUAGGGUUAACAAUGGUUUGGCUGGAUAUCGCCACUCCUAUCUUUAGGUCCAGUUCCCUCCUCCAAAUUACUUAGAAGUCUUUGAAAUUUCUUAAGAUCUGGUAAUAGAUUUGUCUUCUAUUACCAUUAGUAGCAUUGCUCAUUUUGCUGCCAAAGAUACAAUAGAUCAUUUCAACAUUGUGAUAAAGCUUGUUGUAUAUCUAUCAAUGUUCUACUUUUUCUGCAACCCGAGAUCAUCUUUCGUAGAUAAUUACAUUGUGUUACUGAAAAUUAGAAGCUGCUCUGCUGGACUGGGAUAUCAAUCUCAUGACUAAUGUUUUCCUGGAGGAACGCUUGAACAAGAUAAAUUACCGCAAUAAUAUGGUUCCAUAUAGAGUCCAUGCGGACACUUUAUAUGGUUCUUGAAAUUGUCAUUCCACCCCAAAUUCUCCACUUUCUUUGGGGGAAAAGGUGAAGAAGCAACAGACAGAUCUUCUACUACUACUACACUUCUAUUUCCAUUAAAAGAUUUUUCUCCUGUUUUUUAUCGAUAUAUUUUUUGGAAAAUUUUGUUACAUUUUUCUGAAGAAAAAAUGGAAUUAUAUGUCUUUUAUGAUCACAUGCGUAACUGAUCUGGCUAGAGAAACUCUGGCUUUGUUCAAAUUCAGUGUUGUUGUCCUAUGUUUUCUUGGUCGGAUUUUGUAGGCAAUAAAAGUGUCUUUCACCAUCUUUCAUGAUUUUUAGACCAAAAAGGUAGUUAAUGCACUUCAUUAUGGUGUUUGAUAAUCCACCACCUCAUAAGAAGAUUUCUAUCAGUCCGUGGAAGAGUGAAAGGGUCAUCUCUAAGGGGUCCAAGUGAGUUAGACUUGAGUAGGUUGAUUUCCUUCCGUGAUAUGAGUUACUACUCCGUGAUCUUUUUCAUGUUGUCAAAGAUUUGAACAAUGAAAAUAGAUGGCGAGUGCCUGAGGCCAGGCAUAUUAAUGGGAGGCCUAACAAGUGCUGCGAACCUAAAGGAGACUUUGACGUAGACUGAAAAUAAUGGGAAUCCUAUUGAGAAAGAAGAGGCAUGAAUUCCAAAAAUAUUGCAAUGGUGUUUGCUCCUAAUACUGGUGUACAACACUCUUGGGGCAGUUUGUCUCCUAUAAGACGAGAUUUUAUAGCAAAAAAACAAACAGAGAAUGAGUUGAAAUUUGGAAAGUAUGGAUGUAUGAUUCUCUAUCAUUACUUCUUUAAAUGGGUGCACAAUUUUUCAUGUGAAUCUACUCAACUAAUUUUCAUGUGCACAAUUAGCUUGUCAUGUAUAAUAAGUAAUUUUUCGCUUGUUCCUUGAAGAUGGCAGAUCCAUUGACUGCACUGAUAAAUGCCAUCCAAGUAAUGAAUUUCUUGAGGGCGUUCAUCGGGGAGGCCUUAAAAGAUAGAGAAGAUUUUUUUGUCGAACCAGAUUCUAUCUCUUACAUGGGCCAUCCUGAUGAGUAUGGUCAUUAAAGUCCACGACAAUUCUCUCUGGAGAACUCUAAUGAAUCAAAUGAAUUGACUGAACAGGUGUACACUGUAGAAGAACCCGAUUCAGCCAGUGUUUCUGAAUCUAAUCGAGUAGAUAACAUCACUGAUGAUGAAUAUCUUAGUUAUAAAACUUCUUCAGAGGAAUCCGAUGACAGUGCUGCUUGUGAAACUCUUAUUCAGGUUAAUACCAAGGCAAGAAAAUCCCUUGUGACAAUCUAAAAAAGGACACUCAAAAGAUGGGUAUGGUUAAUUUUUGUUGAUUGGUCUUAAUGUAAAAUUAAUUUUUGUGCAUACUAAUACUUUCCUUGCUAUCCGUUAUAUCUCAUGGAAAAAAAAAAUUAUUUCUCUUUAAUUUCUCUUUUAUAUACAAGUUGAAGGACUUUUCUAUGUUUAAGAUUUUUGUAUGACACCCGUUAGUUGCAUUUGAAGUAAAAUUACUUCAAACUUUAAAACUAUAGUUUGUGAAUGCAUAAAUUUUAAAAUCUUAUGAUCAUGUUAAUUUGUCGAGCUCCAGUUAGUUAUUUAGAGUAACGAUCAAAUCUAUGAAUAAUUUUACUAGCAACAAUUGCCUUCAGGUAAGGGUAGGACAAAUUACAUCAGUUUCUUUCCCAUGUACUGUAUUCUACCAUGUUUGAUGUGAUUUCUACUGAGUCUUAAAUCAAAUUCAUUGAACUGUAUACACUAAAAGCAUGCUCCAAAUUAGUUUGACAUCUGGUUGAGUCUAACCUCAGUUCAAAUCGCACAUGCAUUCUGUAAUGGUGCAUAAUACUUCAUGUUGUGCUAAAGUAGUAUUCAUCCUUGGCAUAGACGAACAAAUAAUGUUUUAUUCAUUUUCCUAAUUCAAUUCAAUUGUAUCUAUUGAUCAGAGUUAUACAGGUCUUAGAAAAUCUACUUUCUUUCAAGACGCUGCAUUGAAAUGGAAUAAUGGAACUAUAGAGUUAGGUGGCCUCAAUGACGAUGAAGUAAAAAGCCAUUUGCAGUUUCUCUUUUCAUACAUGUAUCAUAGUAUUCUUUAUCAAUUCUGCCGAUUCACAAUUUUGAUAUACAUGGUGCUUGAUAUUUUGACAUACAGAUGGAAUGCUUCUUAAAUUGCAGAUGUACAUUCAUCAUGUAUUAUGAAUCUCAAGCGACACAUGGGUUUUACCACGAGAAUGGAUUGCUUACUUUUUAGUUUUAAGAACUUGAGAAAGUAAGACCCAUUUUAUAGAUUAUCUGAGGAUUACAUGGCAGGUUAGAGUUGCUAACUAUGGUGAAGAAAUCUGGCAUGUUAGUGAAAGCCAAUAAGGAGGUUGAAAUCGCUUCAGAUGUUGAAAUGGAUCCCCACUUCUGGAGUGACGCCGUGGACUUGUAUUUUAUUCAUGGAAAGGAGUCUAGGGGCAUCAGCAAGAUGAUCUUAUAUUCUUUGUUAACAAAAUGGGUAUGCAGGGACAUGGAUCAAAUGCAGAUAAAGAAGUCUACUGGCAAAGAAAAGGAACAAGCUUUGAACAGCUAUCGAGUUGAACAAUGUGUUGAUAUUGAGCUACACUUGCAACGAGAAGUAUGAUGAAAAACAUAGCAACACCUACAAGUUAAGAUAGUUGUUGGAAGAGCACCAUUUUCAUGUAGAGCCAUAUUAUACACGUUUUUGUAAAGCUACUUCUAUUUAUGAUUCUUUAUCCUUUGAUUUCAGUACAAUCAUGAUAAUGACGGGCCGUGCCCCUCUACUUAGGGAUAAAUAAGUAAUGAGUUCGUACGUACAGUUAGCAAUAUUAGAAUAAAUAAGUAAUAAAAAUUCUCUACUUUUGUCUAG